GACGAACGCUGGCGGCGUGCCUAAUACAUGCAAGUCGAGCGCAGGAAAUCGACGGAACCCUUCGGGGGGAAGUCGACGGAAUGAGCGGCGGACGGGUGAGUAACACGUAAAGAACCUGCCCUCAGGUCUGGGAUAACCACGAGAAAUCGGGGCUAAUACCGGAUGGGUCAUCGGACCGCAUGGUCCGAGGAUGAAAGGCGCUUCGGCGUCGCCUGGGGAUGGCUUUGCGGUGCAUUAGCUAGUUGGUGGGGUAAUGGCCCACCAAGGCGACGAUGCAUAGCCGACCUGAGAGGGUGAUCGGCCACACUGGAACUGAGACACGGCCCAGACUCCGACGGGAGGCAGCAGUAGGGAAUCUUCCACAAUGGACGAAAGUCUGAUGGAGCAACGCCGCGUGAACGAUGAAGGCCUUCGGGUCGUAAAGUUCUGUUGUAAGGGAAGAACAAGUGCCGCAGGCAAUGGCGGCACCUUGACGGUACCUUGCGAGAAAGCCACGGCUAACUACGUGCCAGCCGCCGCCGUAA
rnacentral:rRNA from 1 species